UUCCGACCGGAGGGAUUUUUGCAUUGCCUAGAACACAACGUUCCUAAAAACCUUUUCUUCUCCCGUUCUGAUGGACCAAUUUGGGGACUAUUAAGUUCCUCUGGCCACAGUCCCUGUAACUCUUUCAGCUCCUGCUUCAGGCCAGGCUCUGAAACACAAGCA